GCCUAUGACCAAAUUACACAGAAGGCGCUGGAUCUCGUCGGAUCUCAGAAGCCAAGCAGGAUGGAGCAUGGUUAAUGCUUGGCUGGGUGACUACCAUGCAUGCCAGGUUUGUCGUAGGCA
rnacentral:rRNA from 1 species